rnacentral:lncRNA from 1 species
AUCCGCCGGAAGGAGGGCGCAGCAUUGCCGGUCUUCUCAUUGCCUGGCUGCUAGAGGAAACCCGAAGUCGGGAUUCUUUCUUUCCUGCUCUGAGAGGGACCAGGUCCCUCCUCCGUAGCUUUUGUCUCUCUAUUGCCUGCGCCGUGUCCUGGACUGCUCACGGGAGUUCUGCAGGAGACGCCGGAAUAUCUGGAAGCUGAAAAAUGGAAAUAAAUGGAAAGACCAGAAUAUUGAAGAUCACUACAGAAAUCUAAGGAGUUUCCACAUAGCCACUGACCCACCUUCAUGUUAAAACAGACAUCAGCCAACUGGAAACACAGACUCUCUGUGACAAUAAGAAACCAAAUUACAAACAAGACCUAAGGCCAUGCAAGGCAAGAGGUGACUCCCACGACCAGUGCGGGUCACAGCACAGGCGACAGAAGCUAUGGCAGAGGCACCUGAACCCUCUCGGAGGGGAAAGCCAGGCUCCCAACCUCAGCUCGCCGCCUGGAGCCGGGAACCGAGGAGAGCAGGGCCUUCGCCCUCCCCGAUGGACACUCGGCAGGCCCCGCCCAGCGCCCCUGAUUGGACGAAGCGCCGGGCCCCGCCCCCUCAGCCUUUUGAGUCAGGGUCUCACCCUGUGGCCCAGGCUGCCCUCCAGUGAUGCCAUCAUGACUCAGUGCAACCUCAAACUCCCAGGUUCAAGCGAUCUUCCAUCCUGACCUCCAAAAGGGCUGGAUUAUACACAUAAGCCAUGUCACACUUUAUAUGUUUCUAGGGAAGCUUUUCUAAGAAUAAAUACAUUGGAACU